rnacentral:rRNA from 1 species
CAGUCGCCACGGGAAUACGAAGGGGGCUAGCGUUGCUCGGAAUUACUGGGCGUAAAGGGCGCGUAGGCGGACAGUUUAGUCGGGGGUGAAAGCCCGGGGCUCAACCUCGGAAUUGCCUUCGAUACUGGCUGUCUUGAGUGUGAGAGAGGUGUGUGGAACUCCGAGUGUAGAGGUGAAAUUCGUAGAUAUUCGGAAGAACACCAGUGGCGAAGGCGACACACUGGCUCACUACUGACGCUGAGGCGCGAAAGCGUGGGGAGCAAACAGGAUUAGAUACCCCGGUAGUCCCUGUCUCUUAUCA